rnacentral:lncRNA from 1 species
AUGUUUGCGGCCCAGUGGCUGCGUGCUGAGCUCGUAUGGCCCCCGUCGUGUCUUUCAGGGAGCCGUGCUGCCCAGGUUGGCCCCAAGGCAGUCUCAGGAUCCCAGGUCCCUGUGGGCAAUGCAUGGGUAAGCCGGCCACCGAUUCCCGAGAGGAAUGCGACUCCUCGGGGACCGACUGUCGUCCACAUUCCAAGGCAGCUAGCGUCCCGGAGAGAGUUCCCUCAGAACGAGCGCGAUCGGCGCAGUGGUGGUCCAAGCGGAGCGCAGCUUGCCCUGUGCCGCAACUCGUGUGCUCCGUGGCCCCCUGUUCUCCGAGAUGGCCCUGUGGGAGCCGUGCUGCCCAGGCUGGCCCCAAGGCAGUCAGGAUCCCAGAUAAGGACUACUGAGAAAGAGUUUCCUUUGGUAUUUUUCCACCAAGGCAAAUGUUACCACCCAGCCAUGUUUUAGUAAAUCCAAUUGGUCUUCUGUUCCUUUGAACAAUGAGUUAUGGAUGCUAUUCUG